GACGAACGCUGGCGGAGUGCUUAAUACAUGCAAGUAGAACGAUGAAGGUGGAGUUUGCUUCUGUGGAUGAGUCGCGCACGGGUGAGUAACGCGUAGGUAACCUGCCUGGUAGCGGGGGAUAACUAUUGGAAACGAUAGCUAAUACCGCAUAAGAGUAGAUGUUGCAUGACAUUUAUUUAAACGGUGCUAUUGCAUCACUACCAGAUGGGCCUGCGUUGUAUUAGCUAGUUUGUGAGGUAACGGCUCACCAAAGCAACGAUACAGAGACGACCUGGAAGGGUGGACGGCCAAACUGGGACUGGGACACGGCCCAGAAUCCUUCGGGGGGCAGCAGGAGGGGAACUUCGGCAAUGGACGGCAAUCUUACCGAACAACGCCGCGGGAGGGGAGAAGGUCUUCGGGUCGUAAAGGUCUGUUGUAAGGGGAGAACGAGUUUGAGACGGGAAAGUUCACACUGUGACGGUAUCUUACCAGGAAGCAACGGCUAACUACGUG
rnacentral:rRNA from 1 species